CGUUAACCACUGUGCCACGACCCGAACUCCAAUAAUGUGGGUGUUUUAUAUUUUGCUUUGCUUUGAUCUUUAGAAUGCGAAGACAGCUGUUUCACUCAAGACCAAAAGAUUGAGGACUGGAGAGAUCUGUUAUCAAGAAACUGACUUGACCACAAGAACAAUUUACAGAUGGUAAACAUGAUCGCCUUAUUUAUAACAAGUGUAAGCCAUACUCAAGCUACUUUUUUGGUGUGUUUUUUAAAGAAAGAUACUAAAACAGAAAGGAGCUUGGAACUAUUGCCACCCUUGCCCUCCAUGUUCCUAGCAGCACGAAGGUAGCUGAACUUGACCAUUCAAAGAACUUGGCAUCGGCUAAGUGGAAGCCUCUAUUUUCCUUAUUCUUUAUCCUUCCUAGGCUUUUCAUUACCCAGACUAGAGUGGUAAGUAGUAGUUUUCAUACAUACAAUUGUCAUAAGUAGCUACUAAAAU
rnacentral:lncRNA from 1 species